AGGUAAGAGAGUAAAAUAAUCAUCAUUUACUGUAAAAAACAUUUUGAAAAUUGAAGUGUUGUGUGUUCUUAUUGUAAUUUAUUUAUUUUAUAACAGGUAAACUUUAUACUGUAAGCUUCAUUCCCUUUAAAGCAGAGUUUCGUAUGUGAGGUAAUCUUGCUGGGAGUGAAGGCAGUUCAUGUGACCGCUUAAUAUGAGAGACACGUCCUGUUUUUAAAGGUGGAUCAUAGCUCUAAAAAGCUGGAUAGCUGCAGACUCAAACUUGUCCAAAUGAAGACCACAGCCAGGUGAUGGGAAUCUGUGGUAAUCACAGCCUGCGUCUCAAGAUCAACAUGAUAGCAGACCAUCUCUUAUCUUACUCUUAUCUGACUAAAUGUUCAAUGUCAAUGCCACAGAACUAAGAACAUUGGAUGGAGUAUGUACUGUACAAUGAUCCAGCAAACAAAAUAUGGACUUUUUUGUUAGCUUCUACAAACAUUGACACAAUCCUAUUGACUUUUAUCUUACAGUUAGUAAUGUAUUAUUAACAUCCCAUUAAUUUGUAUUCUAUGCCGUCUAUCUGUUUGUGCUAAACUGUUUACAUCUGAAUGUAAUGUGUAAACACUUUAGUAUGUGUAAACACUAAUACGGUUAAUAUUCAGUAUUUAUCAUUUGCAUGUUUUGA